rnacentral:rRNA from 1 species
AAGAAGCAAGACCGUGAGGUGGAGCAAAACUCAAAAACUUGUCUCAGUUCGGAUUGUAGGCUGAAACUCGCCUACAUGAAGCUGGAGUUGCUAGUAAUCGCGAAUCAGCAUGUCGCGGUGAAUACGUUCCCGGGCCUUGUACACACCGCCCGUCACACCAUGAGAGUUGGCAAUACCCAACGUACGUGAUCUAACCCGCAAGGGAGGAAGCGUCCUAAGGUAGGGUCAGCGAUUGGGGUGAAGUCGUAACAAGGUACC